GUCCCUGCUGACAACCUUCUAGACCCGCGGGGCGCAGCGGACCAGCCACUCCCCCUCCUUUUCCGCGGGUGCAGCUCCCGGGCCCAGCUACAGCGCCCGCACCCGCCCCGCGCACAGCUCCCGGCAGCCCCCGCGCCGCCGCCGCAGCUGGACCACAACUCCCGCCAUGCCGCGGGGCGCAGGGCGCCGGGGCGUGUGGCCCACAAGGCUUUGCGCGCCGGCGGGGCCGCUCUAGCCCGCGGUCCCGCAAGUUCGCGGCGGGCUGAUGAGGGCUCGGGGCGGGCGGCGCGGAAGUCCUGGCGGCUGCAGCGCCACGUGGUCGGUCUCCUCGUGUUCUCACUGCGGGGCGCCCCGGCUGCCCUUGCGUAGGGCCUGGCACGGGGCGGCCGAGGGGGCGUCCCCGCUGCAAGUCGCCGGGCGCGCUGGUCCGGGGAGGCCUGGCCGUUCACCCAGGGAGCCUGUCGUCCCCGGGCGUCUCGCGUUCCCGGGCGGAGACUGGGAAGCCGGGUCCUGUUCCCCGGCGCUGGGCUCGCUGCGGGGGUCGGGGCCGCACGGCCGGGUCGGGGAUCCAGGUUCCGGGACGCGGAUUCUGGAUUAGGGGUUGCCGGGCUUCCGGCCGGCUCCGCGGGGUCUGGGUCACCGGGAGGCCGUGGCUGUGUUGGGGGCGCCCGGACGUCAGUCCCAGCAGCGCGAGGGACGAGGGCGCUCGUUAGUUCCACACAGAUUUACUUAUUAACGGAGUCUCGCUCUGUCGCCCAGGCUGGAGUGCAGCGGCGCGAUCUCGCCUCACCGCAACCUCCGCCUCCCGGGUUCACGCCAUUCUCCUGCCUCAGCCUCUCCGAGUAGCUGGGACUACAGGCGCCCGCCAGCACGCCCGGCUAAUUUUUUUUUUUUGUAUUUUUAGUAGAGACAGGGUUUCACCGUGGUCUCGAUCUCCUGACCUCGUGAUCCGCCCGCCUCGGCCUCCCAAAGUGCUGGGAUUACAAGCGUGAGCCACCGCGCUCGGCCGGCCUUUUUUUUUUUGAGACAGAGUCUCCCUCUGUCGCCCAGGCUGGAGUCCAGUGGUGCGAUCUCAGCUCACCGCAACCUCUGCCUCCCAGGUUCAAGUGAUUCUUCUGCCUCAGUCUCCGGAGUAGCUGGGAUUACAGGCACGCGCCACCACGCCCGGCCUUUUUUUUUUGUAUUUUUAGUAGAUAGUGUAGCAGGAAGAGCCGCAGACAAAACUCUUCAGACACCGAGUUAAAGAAGGAAGGGGUUUAUUCGGCCGGGGCCGUGGGCAAGACUCCAGUCUCAAGAGCUGAGCUCCCCGAGUGAGCAAUUCCUGUCCCUUUUAAGGGCUCACAACUCGGGGUGCGUGUGAGAGGGUCGUGAUCUAUUGAACAAGCAGGGGGUACGUGACUGGGGGCUGCAUGCACCGGUGAUGGGAACAGAACAGGACAGGGAUUUUCACAGUGCUUUUCUAUGUACAUGGAAUCUGUAGAUAACAUGACCAGUUAGGUCAGGGGUCGAUCUUUAACCAGGCCCAGGGCGUGGCACCGGGCUGUGUGCCUGUGGAUUUCAUUUCUGCCUUUUAGUUUUUACUUCUUCUGUCUUUGGAGGCAGAAAUUGGGCAUGAGAAAAUAUGAGGGGUGGUCUCCUCCCUUAACAGAGUUUCGCCAUGUUGGGCAGGCUGGUCUCAAACUCCUGACCUCAGCUGAUCCCCCCCUGCCUCAUGCUUGUUAUUUUGACACAGUCUCACUCUGUGGCCCAGGCUGGAGAGCAGUGGCGUGAUCUCCACCUCCCGAGUUCCAGUGAUCCUCCUGCCUCGGCCUCCCAAAGUGUUGGGACCACAGGCACACGUCAUGCGUCUGGCCAGCACAUCUUUAUUGAGUGCCUGCGGUAUGCCAAGCGCUGUUUUAAGUGCCAAGGAGACAGCAGAGUGCAAAGUGGGCUGACCUCAGUCCGAAGGAGCUUCCAUUCCAGUGAGCAGCAGGGAAGAGAGACCAGGAGCCGGGCUAGUCAUGCCAUAAACCCCGGGCAUAAUACUGAGGCAGUGCUGUGCAGAGAAAUGGGGCAAAACGCCCUCACUUGCAGCGCACGCCACCUCGUAUUGUAAAGACUCCCAUCUUGGCUGCCAGUGUGAGCCAGCCAGCUCACAGAUCGCUGCGAACUUCACAGUGGGCCCAGGAGCUGGCAUGAUCAGCUCCAGCCCUGCUGCAAUAGCCUGGGCGACAGAGCAAGACUACAACAAGAAACAACAAUCAAUCAAUCAAUCAAUCAGUUCCAAGGAAGAUCUUGGAGGUGGAGAGAUUUGAUCAAGGCCUUCCCGUAGGGGAAGGGAGUUGGACCGGGUGUACCAGGCAGAAUGUACGCGAGCUGUGAUGGCGCCAGCCGGGAUGGCAGAGUGAGACCUCGUCUCUAGAGAAGACAACAGCGGGACUUGGAUCAGCAGCAGCCACAGCAGUCACGUCCGUCAUCUGGACUAUUGUAGAGCUUCGUUCCACUCGCCGGCUCAGCAGGUGCUCACUGUGCAUCUGUCUGCGCAGGCGGUGUUUGGGAUGCCCAGGGCGCCACGGGGCUCCGGCAUGCUCGGCUCCUGCCUCUUUGUGUUCCUAUGUGUGCACGCAUGUGUGUGCUCACCUGCCUGUGUGCUGUGCGGGCGUGUGUGUGUACCCGCGCCUGCCUGUGUGUGCCUCGUCUGCGUGUGCACCCACGUGGUGUAAACGUGCGCCUGCAUGUGUGUGUAUGUGUGUUACAUGGUAGAGCACGGCAGUGACCUUCCAUAAACAACUAAGCAGGUCAGCAGGUCUUCCUCCAGGUUGAGGUCGCAUCCGGCCUUUCAGGACCCUCCCUGCUCUCACUCCCGUCCACCCCACAGUGUCUGAGAAAAUCUUGUGAGUUCUGCCUCCAAGACAGGCCCAGAACCCACCUGCCCCUGACCAUCCCACGGCAGCCCCCAGCGCAGGCCCCGUGGUGCCCACCCGGGCUGGUGUGGUUGCCUCCCCCGGGCUUCCCUACCCCCACAUUCCUACCCGAAGUCGAUUCCUUCAGACCCAAGUCAGGCCAUGGCCUCCUCUGCUCCAGCAGAGGCCUCCGUGGCUCCCACCUUGCUCAGGGUAAACCAAGUCAGGCCGUGCCCUCCUCUGCUCCAGCAGAGGCCUCCGUGGCUCCCACCUUGCUCAGGGUAAACCAAGUCAGGCCGUGCCCUCCUCUGCUCCAGCAGAGGCCUCCGUGGCUCCCACCUUGCUCAGGGUAAAACCCUGUGUCCUCUCCGUGUCCUCAGGGCCCUUCACGACCUGCUGAGUCAGCCCCGCCCUCCCUCCUCCUGCUCUCCCCUCCUCACCCUGUGGCAGCCACCCUGGCCUCCUCACUGCUCCUCCGCCUCGCCAGGUGCGGUCCUGUCCCAGGGCCCUUGCACAGCGGUGCCCUCCCCAGACAUCCCGUAGAUGUCUGCACAGCUGGGCAUCCCUUAGAGGUCCUCACUUCCUUCAGGCCUUUGCUAACGUUUCACCUCUUCAGGGGCCUUCCUGGCCACCGUAUGUGAAGUCCCAACUCUCUGCCCUGAGGUUUCCUUUCUGUGAUCACGUCACUGCACACUCCAGCCUGAGCACAGACUGAGACCCUGUGUCAAAAAUAAGAGGCCGGGCGCGGUGGCUCACGCCUGUAAUCCCAGCACUUUGGGAGGCCAAGGCGGGCAGAUCACUUGAGGUCGGGAGUUCGAGACCAGCCUGACCAACAUGGAGAAACCCUGUCUCUACUAAAAAUACAAAAAUUAGCUGGGCAUGGUGGCGGGCACCUGUAAUCCCAGCUGCUCGGGAGGCUGAUGCAGGAGAAUGGUGUGAGCCCGAGAGGCAGAGAUUGUGGUGAGUCAAGAUCACGCCAUUGCAUUCCAGCCUGGCGACAAGAGUAAAACUGUCUCAAAAAAAAAGAAAAAAGAAAAGAAAAAAAUACAUAAAACAAGAGAGACAUGUGUUCACGGCAUUAUUUGCGGUUGUCCGAGCUAGAAGCAGCCUAGAAGCUCCGAGUAAAUCCUGGCAUCUUCAUGGGAUGGAGCGUUGCCCAGCAACAGAAGUGAGUGAUGGACAGGUGUCACCGACACCAGGACCGAUCUCACAGGCAGGGUGGGGGGUCUCAUGAGUGCACUGUCCCCUUCCUGUGCCGCACAGAAGAGGCAAAGCGGGGCCUGGCUUUACAGGCAGGAUGGCAGUUGAUGGGUGGAGGGAAGGAAGAUGGCUGCAGGAGCACCAGGGGCUUCCGGGGGGCUGGAG